rnacentral:rRNA from 1 species
AGUUUGAUCAUGGCUCAGAUUGAACGCUGGCGGCAGGCCUAACACAUGCAAGUCGAGCGGUAGCACAAGAGAGCUUGCUCUCUGGGUGACGAGCGGCGGACGGGUGAGUAAUGUCUGGGAAACUGCCUGAUGGAGGGGGAUAACUACUGGAAACGGUAGCUAAUACCGCAUAACGUCUUCGGACCAAGGUGGGGGACCUUCGGGCCUCACGCCAUCAGAUGUGCCCAGAUGGGAUUAGCUAGUAGGUGGGGUAAUGGCUCACCUAGGCGACGAUCCCUAGCUGGUCUGAGAGGAUGACCAGCCACACUGGAACUGAGACACGGUCCAGACUCCUACGGGAGGCAGCAGUGGGGAAUAUUGCACAAUGGGCGCAAGCCUGAUGCAGCCAUGCCGCGUGUGUGAAGAAGGCCUUCGGGUUGUAAAGCACUUUCAGCGAGGAGGAAGGGUAGUGUGUUAAUAGCACAUUGCAUUGACGUUACUCGCAGAAGAAGCACCGGCUAACUCCGUGCCAGCAGCCGCGGUAAUACGGAGGGUGCAAGCGUUAAUCGGAAUUACUGGGCGUAAAGCGCACGCAGGCGGUUUGUUAAGUCAGAUGUGAAAUCCCCGCGCUUAACGUGGGAACUGCAUUUGAAACUGGCAAGCUAGAGUCUUGUAGAGGGGGGUAGAAUUCCAGGUGUAGCGGUGAAAUGCGUAGAGAUCUGGAGGAAUACCGGUGGCGAAGGCGGCCCCCUGGACAAAGACUGACGCUCAGGUGCGAAAGCGUGGGGAGCAAACAGGAUUAGAUACCCCGGUAGU